GGCUGUGACGUCUCAGGAACCAACACAGACAAGCUAUUACUUCAGCUACCUGACUAUGAGAGAUGCAAGACAGCUUCUUUCACUGUUCCUGAUGGAUGAUGCAGAUGUCCAGUGCUGAGCCAGCUGCAACCAAGCCAGUGAGCCACGUCAGUGACCCGGGAAUGAUGGCGUAAUCUGUUGCCUGAGUAUCUCAGGAGUGAUCCACCCUGUUCUCCAGAAAUCGAAAACAUCUUCUGUACGUGCUGUCUGUACCCUGGAGGUUGGGGGAAGGGAGCAUGUGACGGCCCUUGUCCUUGGGAAUGACAAGGGAAACUGAAGGACCCAGGG